rnacentral:lncRNA from 1 species
UUUUUUUUUUUUUUUUUUUUUUUUUUUGAGGUAGGAAGAAGCACUUUUUAACUGGGCCACACCUUCUGCUGGUAACCUCUAUGAAACUGGCAGCCUUUACAAAACACACAGAAGAAUGAGGCUCCCUCUCUGUCUGUCUACUCUCACUCUUGCUGGUGAGUCCAUUCUUUUUCUGGCAUGAGGGCCUGUGUAUUCAGGAUUGCAGUGCAUACUAAAGAACAGGUGAGACACCCAGUCUCAUGACUGAAUAAUUGUUGUAUUCUUGGACUUUCUGUUGGUAGACAGCCAUUUUUGGAUUAGCUAGACUACAGUUUGUAAGCCAUUUUAAUAAAUUCAAUAUUUAUAUUCAUAAUAAAUCCCAUAUGUAUUCCGUAAUAAAUCUCAUAUAUAUUCAUUCUAUAAUUUGUUUCUCUAGAAGACCCUGAAUAAUACAACUACUCACUUAGCUGUUCAACACUGGCUAGAUGAUGAACAUUUUGUCAAGCCCUUUCAUUUCUUAGUCCAUCCAUUGCUCAUGGAAGGAUACUAAAGCAGGGUAUCAUUUUUGAUUCAAUGGCAAGAAAAAAAGGCUCAGAGAUGCAAAGGAAAACAUCCAGCCAGUACUACAGAAUUCUAAUCCAGACCUGCUAAGUCACAGUUUCAUGUUGCCUGCAAACCAUAUUCAGGCAAGACCUACCUAUGAGGGAGUUUUGCUAUUCUGGGAACAGCCAGACUGGCAUAUAUAAAAAUCCAGUCCAGAAUGGUCAUGUACCUGUGAUGAACUCUACAGCAGGUGCAUUAGUAUGGAGGCCCCUUACUUUGCAGUGCAGGGUGACUGUGUAGGGAGUACCAGCCCUGAGGCCUGGGACUUCAAAGGAACACAGGCGACCAGGAAUAAUAAGGCCAGCCCAUUCUGCCUGGCUAUUCUACUGGAUUCAAGUGAUAAACUGGUCAUAAGUUCUGUCUGGUAUGUUCCAGUCCAGUUUGAGAACAUCCCAUCUCAGUCCAGUCACUGUGAAAUUUCCCAGACUUGGAACCUUCUCUGCAUGAGAAUACACAGGGAUGACGUUACUAUAAAGGGAACUGCUCUCUGGGGUUCAGGUGAGAUGGGGUUUGACUAAAGUUGAGAUGAGCUCUUUGGUUUGUAUUGACUACAGAUGUGUGAUUUACUGCAGUACUGAGCACACUCCAAUUGUUAGAAUUAAAGCCAAGGCUUUCUUUCAGCCUUUGGGAAUAGAAGGUAGUUUUUGGAGGAGCUCAAAACUUCCAUUCUUGAUAUACCACUAGGUUUAUGGGAAGCUCUUGAGUAUUUGUAAAAUGAGCUCAGAGUGAUUUUAUUUUUCACUUACAAAUUUUGCUUUCAAGUUUCUUAGAUAUUAUAAUUUGAAACAUACUUUUCGAGAGAAGUCACCUCUCACUUUUGAAAAAGAAGAGUAGGUGGAAUUUUGUCUGGAGCUGUCUACUAGACUAAGAGCAGGACCUGCCCAAAUAAGGGAUAAGAUAUUGAAGUAGAAGUGAUUCACUAGGAUUUCCCCAACAUGGAAGGGUCUAAGUCUCAUUUAGAGAUGGGAUUCCUCUUAAGCAGAGACAGGGAGAGGAGAAAAGGAGUGAACCGGUCUAAAAUACCUGUCAAGACCUCAACAGAGAGAGGGGCCGUGCCGAAGUCCUGGGUGACCCCUCGAAGGGUGAUGUAGUAGCGGGUGGCUGCUUUGAGCCCAGGCAGGUCCACUGACCUCAGUCCUCCUGGGACUGUGAGGUUCUGGACAGUCUGGGUCGUGUCAGCCUCUAGCACCUGAAUGAAAAAGUUCUUAUAGGCUCCUUCUGGAGCAGUCCAGUUGAGCGUGAGGGCAUCCCAGCCCACCUCGGCCACAGUGACCUCUCCCAGAUUGGGAGUUGUCCCUAGAGAAGGACAAAGAAUGCGUUUAAAAGUCAUUGUAAGAUAUAGGAAAUCCUGAACCCAAGGGCAGGCUUUACAUCCCCUGAAAACACGACAUUUGUUAGAUAAACAUGCUUCAUGUAACAUCUUAAACCUUGGAAAGAGCAGAAGAAGGGGGCGGGGAAAUAUUUGCUUUCUUAGUUUAUCAAUUUCAGAGAAUUCAGGAAUUCCUUCUGUGGCUAAUUUCCUUUGGACUCUAGCACAUAAUCAGUCCUUAAUGUGGGGUCACCAUCCUUGGUUUAUUUGGACUGUCUCAGAUGAUGGAUUCCAUACAGCAGCAAUGUGUUGUUUAUGUGAAAUGUUAACAUGGCCUUAGAACUAUGUCACGCGAUGGCCUGGCUAUCCACCAUCAGACCCCCAUGUCACUUCAGCUUGUGGCUGAACAAGGCCAUUCUAAAAUCAAUGAUGCGUGAUUAUCCUUGGUCAGUUUCCUGUUGAGAAAAACAGAAGCUUUAGAUAUGAAGGAAGAAAGUACCUGUGGAGGUCUCGGCAGAGAGCACUGGUGUUCUAUAGCCCCGGGCUACCCCAUAGAUGGAGACUCUAUAAGAAGUGGCAACCUUGAGGCCUGGGAUGUCUGCAGCCCGGAGGUUACCAGGUACUGUGAAGUUGUGAGCAGUCUCCACAUUGUUGGCUUCCUGUACCUGAAUGACAAAGUACUCAUAGGCCAGGUCAUCUGCAGUCCAGUUGAGUCUGAGGCCAUCCCAGCCGGCCUCAGUCACAGUGAGAUUUUCCAGGGAAGGCACUUCUUCUAAACAAUAACAGAGACAAGGUCAGUUACACUAUUCAUCAAAUGCUUGCCUUUUAAGAACCCAGCAAAUCCAUUGGCCAAGGCCCAUAGAGUCCAGUACCAGGAUGCUGUCACUGUAUGCCCAGCGAUGCUGUCCCACAAAAUGCAAUAAACUGGUUAGUGUAGCAUUAAUCUUGCCUUUAUACAGUUGAAUUUCCUUUUGGAAAUAUGUUUACUUGUUUACAAGUAUCCUAGAGAAGACUAUUCUCAUCUGUUAACGAGGCUCCAUGCCUCAGUUUCCAGUUGGCAGAGUGGUUUUUCACUACACGGAAUAACCUCAGCUUGGUCUUGGGUCUUUUUCCAGCGCUCUGCAUUUUGCAGCCUCCUAGAUCUGCUUAGGUUUCUUUUCUCUUUGUGCUGCCUUGGCCUUUCCUAGAAGGUCAUUAUAGUUUAAUUUGGACUUUUCAGUUCCUGAGUUUCAGGUCAGGUUUUAACAAACCACUUCAGUAGAGUAGGGAUAAGGGGAAAGUACUGGUCAGGCCGAAAAUAAAACAAACAAACAA